CCCCUACCCCUCUAUCCUUCCUUUUCAUUUUCUUUUUCUCCACCUCAUUUUUUUUUGUCUUCCUUUCCAUUUUCCUCCCCUACCCUCUCUCCCCAUCCCCAGCUCAGACUGCCACAGGACCACACCCCUUUCCCCUCUUCAUUUUCCUCUCUUUUUUUUUUUUUUUCUCUUUUGUUUCUUCUUUUCCUCUUCCCCACACCCAUUUCUUCCCUCACCCAAAAAGCCAUCCAAUCUCACCGCCGCCCGUAGCACCGUCGACGCCACUGCCGCCCGGCGACGUAACUGCCGGCUGGCAACCCCCCUUCCACCCAUCUCACAUUUCCCCAUUUUCUUCAAAUUUAUGUGAGUUUAUUUUUUUAUUUUAUUUUAUUAUUAUUAUUAUUAUUAUUUAAUUUUUACAGUAAUUUAUUAUUGAUUAUUAAGAUUGUUUGUUUGAGCUAAUUUAUAUUAUUUUUGGGUUUGCGUUUACUUGGGGGUAUUAUUUCUAAGCUUUGGGUUAAGUUUAGAUAGUUUGGAACCUUGUAUUUUGAUUCGGGUCUUGUUUGUUAAUGUAUGUUUUAUUUAGAUUUAGUAAUAAUUGGAUUUUGGAUUUGAUUUGCAUGUUAAAUUAGGUUUGGAUCAUGGGUAUUAAAUUUAGGUUUAAUUAAAUUUAUUUUGUUUUAUGAUAUUUCGGGCUUGACUAAAUUGCGUGAUUAUUGGAUAAGGAUAUUCAAAUGAGAGAUAUUUUUGUUGGGUAUAUUAAUUAAUUUGGAUUUUUUUCAUUUGUAAAAUUUAUUGGACCAAUUUAAAAUUUGAACUUGAGCUUGAAUAAUUAUUUUGGGCUCCGCAUAUUUCUGGAUAUUUACAUCUGAGCUCAUUUUUGUUUUACAUGGAUUGCACGGAUUGCACGGAUAUGUCACAAGAACCAAAUUUCAUGGAAGAAAAUAAGGUUUACGAAAGUUGUAAAUGGGGCAUUGAGCUUGUUGUAGGCUUGUCAAGACGUAAUACCAACACACAGUUGUAGCAUUUGAAAGUAUUGAUGAAAUACAUAAAUGAAAGUUCAAACCCCAUGAGUAGCUCUUCUUGCAAAUCUGACAUUGAUAAAUGUCUUCCCUCCGCAACGGCCUU